GACGAACGUUGGCGGCGUGCUUAACACAUGCAAGUCGAACGGAAAGGCCCUGCUUUUGUGGGGUGCUCGAGUGGCGAACGGGUGAGUAACACGUGAGUAACCUGCCCUUGACUUUGGGAUAACUUCAGGAAGCUGGGGCUAAUACCGGAUAGGAGCUCCUGCUGCAUGGUGGGGGUUGGAAAGUUUCGGCGGUUGGGGAUGGACUCGCGGCUUAUCAGCUUGUUGGUGGGGUAGUGGCUUACCAAGGCUUUGACGGGUAGCCGGCCUGAGAGGGUGACCGGCCACAUUGGGACUGAGAUACGGCCCAGACUCCUACGGGAGGCAGCAGUGGGGAAUAUUGCACAAUGGGCGGAAGCCUGAUGCAGCAACGCCGCGUGCGGGAUGACGGCCUUCGGGUUGUAAACCGCUUUCGCCUGUGAUGAAGCGUGAGUGACGGUAAUGGGUAAAGAAGCACCGGCUAACUACGUG
rnacentral:rRNA from 1 species